rnacentral:rRNA from 1 species
UGGCCUGUUUAUCAAAAACAUAACCUUUAGCUAAACAAGUAUUAAAGGCAACGCCUGCCCAGUGAAUAAUUCAACGGCCGCGGUACCCUAACCGUGCAAAGGUAGCAUAAUCAUUUGUCUAUUAAUUGUAGACCUGUAUGAAAGGCAAAAUGAGAGCCCAACUGUCUCUUAUAACAAAUCAAUUAAACUGAUCUCCCAGUACAAAAGCUGAGAUAUUAACAUAAGACCAGAAGACCCUGUGAAGCUUUAACAAACCCAUUAAACCAAAUAAUGAUUACUUUCGGUUGGGGCGACCUUGGAAUAAAAAAGAACUUCCAAUAGUAUGAACUCAUCAUAAAACAAGGCAAACAAGCCUAUAUUAGACCCAGUAUAGCUGACAAUUGAAAUAAGUUACUCCAGGGAUAACAGCGCUAUCUUCUUUAAGAGCCCAUAUCAAAAAGAAGGUUUACGACCUCGAUGUUGGAUCAGGACAUCCCAGUAAUGCAACUGUUACUAAAGGUUCGUUUGUUCAACGAUUAAUAGUCCUACGUGAUCUGAGUUCAGACCGGA